rnacentral:rRNA from 1 species
GGGGAAUUUUCCGCAAUGGGCGAAAGCCUGACGGAGCAAGACCGCGUGCGGGAGGACGGCCUGUGGGUUGUAAACCGCUUUUCUCAGGGAAGAAGAUCUGACGGUACCUGAGGAAUCAGCAUCGGCUAACUCCGUGCCAGCAGCCGCGGUAAUACGGAGGAUGCAAGCGUUAUCCGGAUUUAUUGGGCGUAAAGCGUCCGCAGGCGGCUAAUCAAGUCUGCUGUUAAAGGCCGAGGCUUAACUUCGGUUGAGCAGUGGAAACUGAUUAGCUAGAGUGCGAUAGGGGUAGAGGGAAUUCCCAGUGUAGCGGUGAAAUGCGUAGAUAUUGGGAAGAACACCAGUGGCGAAGGCGCUCUACUGGGUCGCAACUGACGCUGAGGGACGAAAGCUAGGGGAGCGGGAAGG